rnacentral:rRNA from 1 species
ACUGUCAGGCUCGAGUAUGGAUGCGGAUAGGCGGAAUCUGUAGUGUACCGGUGAAAUGCAUAGAUAUUACACAGAACACCGAUUGCGUAGGCAGCUUACCAUACCAGCACUGACGCUGAAGCACGAAAGCGUGGGGAGCGUACAGGAUUAGAUACCCUGGUAGUCCACGCCAUAAACUUUGCUCACUCGCUGUUGCCGAUACACAGUCAGCGGCCAAGGGAAACCGAUAAGUGAGCCACUUGGGGAGUACGCCCGCAAGGUUGAAACUCAAAGGAAUUGACGGGGGCCCGCACAAGCGAUGGAACAUGUAGGUUUAAUUAGAUGAUACGCGAGGAACCUUACCUGGGCUUAAAUGUGAAGUGCAUUGAUUGGACACAAUCAGUUCCUUCGGGACCCUGUACAAGAUGCAGCAUAGGUCGUCGUCAGCUCGUGCCGUGAGCUAUCGGGUUAAGUCCCAUAACGAGCGCAACCCCUAUCGUUAGUAACCAGCGCGUGAUGGCGGGCGAUUUUAGCGAAACUGCCGGUGUAAACUGCGAGGAAGGUGGGGAUGACGUCAAAUCAGCACAGGCCUCUUAUGUCCAGGGCUACACA